rnacentral:rRNA from 1 species
CAGUAGCCGCGGGAAAACGUAGGGUGCAAGCGUUAAUCGGAAUUACUGGGCGUAAAGCGUGCGCAGGCGGUUCGUUAAGACAGAUGUGAAAUCCCCGGGCUUAACCUGGGAACUGCAUUUGUGACUGGCGGGCUAGAGUAUGGCAGAGGGGGGUGGAAUUCCACGUGUAGCAGUGAAAUGCGUAGAGAUGUGGAGGAACACCGAUGGCGAAGGCAGCCCCCUGGGCCAAUACUGACGCUCAUGCACGAAAGCGUGGGGAGCAGACAGGAUUAGAUACCCCCGUAGUCCCUGUCUCUUAUAC